rnacentral:rRNA from 1 species
UACGUAGGGGCAAGCGUUGUCCGGAAUCAUUGGCGUAAGCAGCGUGUAGCGGCCCGGUAAGUCCGCUGUGAAAGUCGGGGCUCAACCCUCGAAUGCCGGCCGAUACUGUCGGACUAGAGUCCGGAAGAGGCGAGUGGAAUUCCCGGUGUAGCGGUGAAAUGCGCAGAUAUCAGGAGGAACACCAAUGGCGAAGGCAGCUCGCUGGGACGUGACUGACGCUGGAGACGACGAAAGCCGUGGGGAGCAAACAGG